AAAAAAGUAGAGCUCUACCGCCAUCUAGCGGACAAUAAAGUCUGAAUCACUAUUUUGAAAACCGCCGUUUGCUAAUCCUUUGUUGUCGUGGCUGUAUGGUGCCAUUACAUCCUUGUCCGCCAGGUGUCGCUAGCGACUCUGUCAGCCGGUGACAUCACGGUUACUCUCUGCUGUGAUUGGUUGCCAGCGGCACCAGAGCUCGUGCAAGCCGUGUUGUAAACAGGUUAGUCUCGUUUCUUUUUACGUGAUGUUGCGGCAGACUUUCGAAAUGUUGUAAAGCUGCGUACGACGUAAAGAGCGCGACAUGUCAGAAAGACACAGGUCGCUGCCUGCAUGGAUGGCAAAGAAAGAGGAGAAAAGCCAAGAAAAGAAGCCACUGAAGAGAAAGCGGAAAGCUGCCAGGUCUGCUUUCUACUGUAUGAACGAGCAAGAGCUGGUAGAAGCAGCUGUUUCCUAUGUCACAAACGGCUCAUGUGAGGAGCUGACACUCGUGACUCACCAGCAGGGUAAACAAAAAGCAGUGGACACAGUUAAGAAGAUGGGGAAAUCCACAAAUUCACAGCUGACAGUGAAUCCAGUUGCUGCAGAGGAGUCCCCAUCAGACUGCACUGAAGAUCUGGAUUUGACGUAUGUUUCAGAAUCAGACUUGGACAUUACAGCGGUAGAAACAUUACCGUACACCAGCAGCCGGCAGCAUCAAACAUCUGAGCGUCGGCAUUCAGGAACAGUUGAGGAUUUGGAGGCUGGGAAGACGCAUGAAUCACCCCAGACAGCAGCUGAGGACAGCGACGCCUUACGCCUUUAACCGAGAAAAGGCAACGAAGCCAAUCUGGUUCAGGAAGUUAAGUGGUUUCGCGCUGGAGCGCGCGCCGUGGACGCGGAGAAUGUGCGCCUCAGCAGUCUGUGCAGGGCUCAGCUCCUCUCUGCUGUGCGCACUUCGAGCGGUUUAACAAGCAGUCUCCUCCACGAGAGGGAUCAUCAGCAACUUUAUAUAUAUAGACCUGCUGCAACGCCAAAAGUACAAAGGCUCAUUAUGGGAAACAGGCUCAGCAGAAGGCGAGAAACCCCAGCCAGCACCCAUGAAACUGUGGCUGUUGAAGAGAAGACCACAAAGGAGCCAGGAAACGACUCUGCAGUUACACAGACUCACGAAGCCGCCAAAACGGAGGAUCUAGAUGUGGUGGUGGGAGAGCCAGUGACACCAGUGGCAUGUUUACCCAAUGAAGAAUGUGUCGCGGAUUUUAAAGAAGCAGAGGCUUCCAGUGCCUCAGCCCCGAAAAAUGAUACAGAACCAGCACCUAUGGUAAAGGAAGCCCCAGUCCAACCUGAACCUCAGGUCUCAGCCAGCACACCUUCACCUUCAGAACCAGCUGCUGAAGCUGAGCUUGCUCCUGACUCCGAACCAGACAUUGAGAUAGUCCAGCCCAGCUCAGAGCCAGCACCACCCUCAGUGGAGCAUCUGGAGCAGCAGCCGGAUCAACUAACACAAGAUUCUCUCCAUGAACCGGUUCUUUCUUCGCCCCCUUUGACCAACUCUGGUUCCCCUGAUUUCGCGCCCUCCCAAGAUCCCAUCCCUGUCCCAGUCAAUCCAGACGAGCCAUCAGACCUCCCAGCUGGUGAGGAAUGCCAAGAUGGGGAUGAGGCUGCUGACAUUUCCAUGCUUGAGCCAGAGAAGCCAGCAGAAGCGCAUCUGGAAAAGCCGAUGGAGGUGGAGGCUGAAGAGAGUUUGGAGAAGCUUGGAAGUGAUGUCAACGAGGAAAGCAUUAGUGAAACCCCAAAGAACUCGGAGCUGAGAGGAAAUGACCUUGGCAGUGACCUCAUUCCAAGAGAUGUCAAUGUCCCUGAUGACACUCCCAUCACAGACAUGAGCACAUCUACUGAGCUGAUGUGAAUCCAUCAGAGGAUUCAUGAAGGAAGUGAAACCCUCUAAAUCUAAAUUGUGUAUGGAUCUAAAAACAGUGGUUUGUCUCACCCAAGUGCCCACAUUAAUGCCAAUAGAGCCUUUUUUUUAAUGUUAAAUGAACCAAAGGUGCCAAAAAGCAGUGUGUGUGUACAUGUGUGUGUUGUGAUGGAAAGAAGAGUGACCUAGAAUGCUUCAUUAUUAGACAGAUCUUCAUCUGUGAAGAUCCAGGCAGAAAUUAAAUGUGUCUUGUAUAUAUUUGAGCAGUUUUCUUUUUUGUUUAAAAAAAAAAUAGCAACAAAAAGAAAAAUGAAAAGAAGGUUAAUGAAAUAAAUGUAAAGGACAAAGAAUGCAACUUCAGCUGGAAACGGCAUGUGCAUUCCACAACUGGUUACGAGUAUCUACUACACAUUUAUGAAUUAACAUAGUAAUACUUGGCAUUUUCAAUAAUCCACUAAUCAGAAUGAUUGUCAUCUUAUGUAAUUUUAAAUAAAAUAAAUGAAUUUUCAAUGUCAAGUAGUUGCCUUUGACAAUAAACUGGCAUUUACACAUCAAAAUCUUGCUCCCUGUUUUUCCAAAGGUAUAUUUUAUAGUAUCUGGUCACACUGAAGAUUCUGGGAAUAGAUUUUUGUGGGGGAAGAAAAAUAGGAGAUACUCUGGGCAUGUUUGACAAACUACUACAUGUACGGGGCACUCUGCAAAUGGCAAUAGAAAUCUAUGUAGCAAAUCCCAGUUCAUUUAAGAGGGACUGGAGCUUCUCACUGUCUCGUGGGAGAGAGGACAUCAGAGGAGGGAGGAGAAAGGGGGGAGACUAGGCCACAUUCUUUCCAGAGGAAGGAGAUUUUCAUGGGGCCUGGGUCAAAAGUCUUCAGUGUGACUGCAUUUCAGUCCAUGAGAAAUCUGUUCCUCACAUGCCUCCCCUUGCUUUCACCCCUUGCUUUCACUACAUUGCUAUCCCAAAAUCUUGUCUGAGUAGUCAGGACACUGGUAUGAGAGGCCACUCCUAAAUGCCUUAAAACUUUAAUCUACAGUCAUGUGGAAAGAAAGCACACGCUUUUGCAAUUCUGUGGUUUAAUUUAUCAGGUCAUAAAACAUAACCUAUAACUGGGUAACCACAACCUCAGAUAUUACAUCAUAACAAGCUUAAACCACAAUGUAGAAGCAGUGUGUGAAAAGCAGCUGACAGGUGCUGCUAACCAAAUACAUUUGAUUAAUUGAUUAAUUAGCAAAUGUUUGCACCUCUAUAAAAGCAGAGAUUUUGGCAUAGUGCUGGUUUGGAGCAUUGCCCGUUUUUUCAUGAGUGGAAAACAUUUAAGACUGUUUCCAAUCUUCCCAGCUGUGGAUAUCUCCACGUCCACAGUGGUGGAGGGGUAAAUAUUUGGGCUCAGUUUGCAGCUACAGGAUCCGGACACCUUGCAGCCAUUAAGUCGACAGUGAACUCCUCUGUACAUCAGUCUAGAGUCACAUGUAAGGCCAUGUAUCAGUCUUUUAUAUCCUCGACAAUAAUGUGAAAGACUGAUAGUCAUACAGAAAAUGAUUACUUCAUGUUAUUGUUAUUAAAGGUGGUUUUACAAGCUACAUGGGUGCAGUUAGUUUUUCCACAUACCACUUCUGCAGUUUAGCUUUUUGUUAAAUAAAUAUAGUGUAAUAUGUUGUGUUGUUUUUCGUUGUAGGUUGUUGUAUUUUUUAGAAAUUUUAGAACAUGGUAAGGACUGGAUGAUUUUUUAAAAAUAUCCUGAUAUGCAAAAGCUUAGAAUUGAAAGAGGGUGUACUUGCAAAUGUAAAUAAGCAAUAAUUUGCACAUUUACUUUGCCAAUUC
ensembl:lncRNA